ACUCCUACGGGAGGCAGCAGUAGGGAAUAUUGGUCAAUGGGCGAAAGCCUGAACCAGCCAUGCCGCGUGUCAGAUGAAGGUCCUCUGGAUUGUAAAAUGACUUUUCUACGGGAAGAAUGAGCCGUCUGCGGACGGAAGUUGACGGUACCGUAGGAAUAAGCACCGGCUAACUACGUGCCAGCAGCCGCGGUAAUACGUAGGGGUGCAAGCGUUGUCCGGAUUUACUGGGGUUUAAAGGGUACGUAGGCGGUUGUGCCAAGUCUGGGGUGAAAGUUUGCAGCUCAACUGUAAAAUUGCCUUGGAUACUGGUCGGCUAGAGUAGUGGAGCGGUGGCUGGAAUUUAUAGUGUAGCGGUGAAAUGCUUAGAUACUAUGAGGAACACC
rnacentral:rRNA from 1 species